UACGUAGGGGGCGAGCGUUGUCCGGAUUCAUUGGGCGUAAAGAGCGUGUAGGCGGCCCGGUAAGUCCGCUGUGAAAGUCCAGGGCUCAACCCUGGGAUGCCGGUGGAUACUGUCGGGCUCGAGUCCGGAAGAGGAGUGUGGAAUUCCUGGUGUAGCGGUGAAAUGCGCAGAUAUCAGGAGGAACACCAAUGGCGAAGGCAGCACUCUGGGACGUGACUGACGGCUAGACGCGAAAAGCGUGGGGGAGCAAAACAGG
rnacentral:rRNA from 1 species